AGCGGCGAGCGAACGGGGAGCAGCCCAGAGCCUGAAUCAGUGUGUGUGUUAGUGGAAGCGUCUGGAAAGGCGCGCGAUACAGGGUGACAGCCCCGUACACAAAAAUGCACAUACUGUGAGCUCGAUGAGUAGGGCGGGACACGUGGUAUCCUGUCUGAAUAUGGGGGGACCAUCCUCCAAGGCUAAAUACUCCUGACUGACCGAUAGUGAACCAGUACCGUGAGGGAAAGGCGAAAAGAACCCCGGCGAGGGGAGUGAAAAAGAACCUGAAACCGUGUACGUACAAGCAGUGGGAGCACGCUUAGGCGUGUGACUGCGUACCUUUUGUAUAAUGGGUCAGCGACUUAUAUUCUGUAGCAAGGUUAACCGAAUAGGGGAGCCGAAGGGAAACCGAGUCUUAACUGGGCGUUAAGUUGCAGGGUAUAGACCCGAAACCCGGUGAUCUAGCCAUGGGCAGGUUGAAGGUUGGGUAACACUAACUGGAGGACCGAACCGACUAAUGUUGAAAAAUUAGCGGAUGACUUGUGGCUGGGGGUGAAAGGCCAAUCAAACCGGGAGAUAGCUGGUUCUCCCCGAAAGCUAUUUAGGUAGCGCCUCGUGAAUUCAUCUCCGGGGGUAGAGCACUGUUUCGGCAAGGGGGUCAUCCCGACUUACCAACCCGAUGCAAACUGCGAAUACCGGAGAAUGUUAUCACGGGAGACACACGGCGGGUGCUAACGUCCGUCGUGAAGAGGGAAACAACCCAGACCGCCAGCUAAGGUCCCAAAGUCAUGGUUAAGUGGGAAACGAUGUGGGAAGGCCCAGACAGCCAGGAUGUUGGCUUAGAAGCAGCCAUCAUUUAAAGAAAGCGUAAUAGCUCACUGGUCGAGUCGGCCUGCGCGGAAGAUGUAACGGGGCUAAACCAUGCACCGAAGCUGCGGCAGCGACGCUUAUGCGUUGUUGGGUAGGGGAGCGUUCUGUAAGCCUGUGAAGGUGUGCUGUGAGGCAUGCUGGAGGUAUCAGAAGUGCGAAUGCUGACAUAAGUAACGAUAAAGCGGGUGAAAAGCCCGCUCGCCGGAAGACCAAGGGUUCCUGUCCAACGUUAAUCGGGGCAGGGUGAGUCGACCCCUAAGGCGAGGCCGAAAGGCGUAGUCGAUGGGAAACAGGUUAAUAUUCCUGUACUUGGUGUUACUGCGAAGGGGGGACGGAGAAGGCUAUGUUGGCCGGGCGACGGUUGUCCCGGUUUAAGCGUGUAGGCUGGUUUUCCAGGCAAAUCCGGAAAAUCAAGGCUGAGGCGUGAUGACGAGGCACUACGGUGCUGAAGCAACAAAUGCCCUGCUUCCAGGAAAAGCCUCUAAGCAUCAGGUAACAUCAAAUCGUACCCCAAACCGACACAGGUGGUCAGGUAGAGAAUACCAAGGCGCUUGAGAGAACUCGGGUGAAGGAACUAGGCAAAAUGGUGCCGUAACUUCGGGAGAAGGCACGCUGAUAUGUAGGUGAAGUCCCUCGCGGAUGGAGCUGAAAUCAGUCGAAGAUACCAGCUGGCUGCAACUGUUUAUUAAAAACACAGCACUGUGCAAACACGAAAGUGGACGUAUACGGUGUGACGCCUGCCCGGUGCCGGAAGGUUAAUUGAUGGGGUCAGCGCAAGCGAAGCUCUUGAUCGAAGCCCCGGUAAACGGCGGCCGUAACUAUAACGGUCCUAAGGUAGCGAAAUUCCUUGUCGGGUAAGUUCCGACCUGCACGAAUGGCGUAAUGAUGGCCAGGCUGUCUCCACCCGAGACUCAGUGAAAUUGAACUCGCUGUGAAGAUGCAGUGUACCCGCGGCAAGACGGAAAGACCCCGUGAACCUUUACUAUAGCUUGACACUGAACAUUGAGCCUUGAUGUGUAGGAUAGGUGGGAGGCUUAGAAGUGUGGACGCCAGUCUGCAUGGAGCCGACCUUGAAAUACCACCCUUUAAUGUUUGAUGUUCUAACGUUGACCCGUAAUCCGGGUUGCGGACAGUGUCUGGUGGGUAGUUUGACUGGGGCGGUCUCCUCCUAAAGAGUAACGGAGGAGCACGAAGGUUGGCUAAUCCUGGUCGGACAUCAGGAGGUUAGUGCAAUGGCAUAAGCCAGCUUGACUGCGAGCGUGACGGCGCGAGCAGGUGCGAAAGCAGGUCAUAGUGAUCCGGUGGUUCUGAAUGGAAGGGCCAUCGCUCAACGGAUAAAAGGUACUCCGGGGAUAACAGGCUGAUACCGCCCAAGAGUUCAUAUCGACGGCGGUGUUUGGCACCUCGAUGUCGGCUCAUCACAUCCUGGGGCUGAAGUAGGUCCCAAGGGUAUGGCUGUUCGCCAUUUAAAGUGGUACGCGAGCUGGGUUUAGAACGUCGUGAGACAGUUCGGUCCCUAUCUGCCGUGGGCGCUGGAGAACUGAGGGGGGCUGCUCCUAGUACGAGAGGACCGGAGUGGACGCAUCACUGGUGUUCGGGUUGUCAUGCCAAUGGCACUGCCCGGUAGCUAAAUGCGGAAGAGAUAAGUGCUGAAAGCAUCUAAGCACGAAACUUGCC
rnacentral:rRNA from 1 species